rnacentral:rRNA from 1 species
UACGAAGGGGGCUAGCGUUGCUCGGAAUGACUGGGCGUAAAGGGCGCGUAGGCGGAUGGCACAGUCAGAUGUGAAAUUCCCGGGCUUAACCUGGGGGCUGCAUUUGAUACGUGUUGUCUUGAGUUCGGAAGAGGGUCGAGGAAUUCCCAGUGUAGAGGUGAAAUUCGUAGAUAUUGGGAAGAACACCGGUGGCGAAGGCGGCGACCUGGUCCGACACUGACGCUGAGGCGCGAAAGCGUGGGGAGCAAACAGG